ACAACCACCAGUAUUGUUCGGUGUGGAGACCUGUCCAGUUCGCGGUGUCGUCCGGUUCGUUUGAAGAGACUACACACAAUUUGGUGCAUCCCAAAACAGAAGCUGAAAAUUUGUGAAAAUUUUUGGGUGAAAUUUUCACUCCCCCCAAUACGCGCGUCGCCCGAAAGUGUUUAAUGGCAGGCGUCGGUACCGUCUCCUAGCUGCUAUCACGUGUGUGAGAGGUGGAGUUUCACGGCGAAGGUUCGCUGUUCUCAGGUUACUUGGAUGGUGGAAGGGUGAAUGCAUGUGCAUUAAUUCAGAGUGUGGUGUUAAAAAAAAAUCGAAAAUAAAGGUGCCUACUUGGAUCAGGGCUCCCCGGUGUUUGUGUGAUCUAUUGUGAAUCGAGUAGGCGAAGGUGAUUAAAGUUUUUUAAGUAGGAAGAAAGGCAUUGGUGUUUUCUCGGUGUCUAAUGGAAGUGAAGGGGAUUCAGCUUUAACAGUGUACUUCGGAAGAUUGCUUAUCGUGUUUCGUCUGUUCGAGUGCAAGUGUCUGUGUGGUGAAAGAGAGUACCAGCAAAGGGUGUUUGGGGCAGAGCAAGUAACGCACGUCUUUGAUAAGAAAGAAGAAAAUACCAACGGAGAGAACCGUGUCAAUUAGAAUACGUCCAAUGCUACACAGUUCUGCGGAAGGCUUUGUGCACUUCCGGACAUCGAGGUCGCCGUCAUCAAGCCAAGAAGACGUGCUCUCUCUUCAGCAACAAGUGUAACCAGUAAUGAAGCGAUGAUUAAGUGAUGUGAAAUAAUAACGAAUAAAGUUCGAUAGUGCAUUGUGGCAACAAUCAUCUCUAAUCGAAAAUGUGAUACUCCUCGCCAAGGCAUUGUACAACCACAAAUAGUUCACCAGAAACUGGCAUGUCACCAGAAUACUCUCGCCUUGUAAUGCCUCUCAGUUCAUCAGCAGCCGCAACACCCCCAUCACACCUGUGAAUGCUCCGGAAGCGCAAACGUAGGCGCAACCUCCGCAUCAGCUCGUCUAGUCAUCCAUCGCCACCAGCAAAGCUUCAAACUGGAGCUCCUACAGCGAGUCAUGUUCCUGCUGGGUUGGACCCUGGCCUUGGGGUUGGUGGAGACCACCAACCCUCUCAGCGCGGUCCAUCGAGCCCAACAGCAGCAACAGCAGCAACCGGCUCCACCACCUUCCGGGAUCGGUAGUCCCGAGGGGCUCAUCAUCGAGGACUCCCCGAUAGCCCCUUCCUCGCAGUACAUCGUCCAGAAGGACGUCUGGAACGGAGGAGGUGCCAGCAGCAACCAUCAUUCUCACCACCACCAUAGUAGUAGUCAACCCCAGUCACCGUCAUCUCCAUCAUCUUCCUCAUCUUCCUCCUCUUCUAAUGGUAGUAGCGAUAGUGACCCUAGCGAUGUCCCCCAUCGAUCCCCGCUGAUUCCCGGCGUAAGAAGUAACGACACUUUUCGUUCUCACGGUUCAGGAUCAGGCUCGUCCUCAUCGUCCGGAGGAGGAUUCGCGAACUUUUUCGGCUUCGGCAGUGGCACCGAGUGGACGCUGAUGGAUUGCUUCUCGCUGCGGAGGACCCAUCAUCUGUACUACCAGCUGGGCUGUGGGUUGUUCUUUUUGGCCUUUUUGGCGCCGAAUGCUCCCUUUGGGAUGCUGUGGCUGCGGUGUAUGGUCAUAGCGGGGAGUGUGCUGCUGAUCAUUUGGGGAUGGCAAGUGGAGUGUACACUGGAUGCCGUAGUGUGGGCCAGUCUGUUCCUGAUCAUCAACGCGAUCUACGUGGGAGCGCUGCUGUGUAAAUUGAGGCCGGUCAAGUUCGAGAAGGAGAUCGAAGCGGUCUAUGUGGCGCUGUUCAAACCCUUGCGCGUGUCGCGACACCAGUUCAAGAAGGUGCUCAACUGUAUGAAGCUGGUCCGGUCCCUGAAGUACCAGGAGAUCUACGCCCAGGAAAAGGUCACCAAGGUGGACAGUCUUUCGCUGGUGCUGUCCGGGAAGCUAGUGGUGUCCCAAAAUCAGAAAGCACUGCACAUAGUCUUUCCUCAUCAGUUUCUGGAUUCUCCCGAGUGGUUUGGCGUUUCUACUGAUGACUACUUCCAGGUCUCAAUCAUGGCCAUGGAGGAAUCGAGGGUCCUGAUCUGGCAUCGGGACAAGCUAAAACUGUCAAUUAUGGCGGAACCGUUCCUGCAGGCGGUGUUCGACCACAUCCUCGGCCGGGACGUCGUCAAGAAGCUGAUGCAGGUGACACAGGUCAGCGAAACGAUGGCCCAAAGCAAUGGGUACAUCUCGUCGGGGUACGGCGAGGACGCCGAGGACAAACCGAUGCUGGUGAUGAAGAACAGCAAAUCCAGUGACAACGGAGGUCACGGCAUUACGGCGCUCAUCAAUCGGCAGCUGCAGGACGAAAGCGUGCCCCUUCUGGAGAGCCCGUCCAACCCGACGCCGCUGAUGUCGCUGCACAUGCGCCUACUGCAUUCGGUCGAGAACAAAUUCAUCAAAAAGAUCUACGACGUUUGACGGUGAUCGAGACGUCAUCGGCAGUGGUUGCCCAUGGCUACCCAACGAGCAAUCAACGAAAACGAACCAUCAAGAAAUCAACACGUGUUUCGUGCGCGCACUGUUAAAACACGUUUUGUCUAGUCCCUUACAAGUUUUGGUGUAGUUUUAAGUUUCGUGUAUUAUUUUGUUUUUGUGAGUUUUUUUUUCUCAUCGAACCUCGAACGUCAACGGAUAACGGAAACGGAGCGGUGACAGCAACGAAGAGCGGCGACAACGAUUUUUACUCACACACAACUUCUUAAGCUUUUUGGUUUUCCUGCCUGAUUUUAAAUCCGCCAUUUUUGCCUUGCCUAGGAUAUCCAAAUAUUAUUACUGUGCAGCAGCGGACCCGAACGCGUGGCGCCUGGGCCGGAUCGACGAAACCGACCACGAAACGGCCGUCUAAUAUUAGGCCUGGCGGUGUGCCCCCUACCACUACCAAGUGGAUCCACUGCAGAGCAUUAUUCCGCUGGACGUGGAUUGGACGAGUUUGGACAACGAGCGCUGGAACAGUGGCAACAGCCAUUAGUCUACGUCCAAUAGAGGGGGGACACCGGAACCGGAUCCGAAGCUGUGGCGGAUGAUAGUCUGAAGGAAUAAAAAUUGUAGUUUUCAAUGUUACCAAGUUCAUUUUCGGUUUGAUGCAAAUCUAGAAGUUUGUAGUAAAACAUUUUCAAUAAACUAUUUUAAUAGCAGCAGAUGUAGAAGAUGUCCGCUUUGAUUCAGUGUUUAGUGUAACAGUUGAAACUUGUGGAAAAUCUAUCGAAAAUCGUUUUACUUGCGUAGGAAUAGGAGCCUUGGCAGAACGAAACUACUUUUAUUUACAAAAAGAAAGUCUGCUAACUAACAGUUACUGAUCAAGUUUCUAUCCAACAGAACGAGCCUUCUUCAAUCAUUAGUUUGCAAUAAAAAAUAAAGUAAGUGGAUGUCAGUAUAAGUCGUAAAAAGAUGUGUAAAUAUAUAAAAGACAGAGUCAAAUAAACAAUUAGAGAGCAACAAAUUGAAACCAAAAAUAAACCACAUAGAGUACUGUUGAAACGGAAACUAAAUCAUAGUAAGAAAUAUUUCAACUCUUGAUGUUUGAGGUUAUCAAAUGUGUACAACUGCGAGGCACCCAUUUUAGGACGAAAAUGCGAUAUUAAAGUUAAAUGUAAACCCAGUUUUAGGUCGUCAAAAUUGAUGCAUAACUCUAAUAGUACGUACUAAAACAAGUAAAGUGCAGUGAACUAAAUAUUAGAAGACAAAGCCUAACCCAUAAGGAGUAACAAACAGAGAAAAGAGUAUGAGUCGUUGAACAACAUUAGAUAGGUGACGUUAAAGAAGAUCUUUUAAGAUUUAAAUCAACGGAAAAAUAAAGCUAAAACCAGAUUAACUUAGAACGUUUAUUAAAAUGGAGGUAACCUCCUCCAGUUCAAUAACAGAGCAAACUAAAAACUGACAUGAAAAUAAAUCAAUCAUUGCUGGAAUGAGCAGAACGCUUCAAAGUCAUAUAGGUCUCGUGCGAGUGAGAGAAAGAGAGGGAACUUCGAAUGAUCGGUUGAGCGGACGGAAAAGUAUGAAUAAAUCGUAAAAUUUGGACUGUAUUGUUGCCGUGUAAUGUGUGUAGGUAAGAUAAAUUUAAAUUUUGACUCGGAUUCGAAAAUAGGCGGAGAUGGAGUUGGAAAGCAACAACAGUAAGUGCUACUCGAAGAAACCACUUUUGGUUAGAUCUGUGAGUUUAGAACAGGAUGGAAAGAAAUUGAAAUAAAAGAGUUAUUUUAAUUAAUUUCAAAA